UCUCUUGCUAAUGACAAACUCUUCAAAGAGGGAUGAUGUCACCAGCUGCAACACAGGGGGCCCGCUUCUUGCCGCUGUUUAACCACAGCGACCUCAAAUGAUUAAGGGGGCACGGGGGCCUCGUUCUGAAGGCUCUUGUGCACACCAUGCUGCCACUGGUGACUCAGGGUGGAUGUCAGGUGUAGAUCCAUCCUGUCACGGCACGGAUUUGAACCCGUGUUGGUCCUGUAACUGAGUGUCAAGAUUCCUCCUCUGGCUGCUUGCCCGGAAACGCCCCUGCUUGUGCUGGGUGCAGCAUGCCCACACAGCGACAAGGCUGCAGACAAUCACGCAUCAGCGCACCUGGAUCUGACGAGAGAGAGGGGCUUAAAAGACCAGCAAAGCCAGGAGACCUUUGGCAGAGCGUAACCAAUCUCCCCUGUUGUCUCCUGUGAUCUUGUCUUGCCUCACGACCUCCUUCCGGAUCUUUGCUGGCCUUCCCUGAUCCUCGACCACUGCUUGGACACGGACAUCAUUGCCUCGCUCCAACCCCCGACUGCUUGCCUCCCUACUGACUGCCUCUCUGCCUUCCCCUUUGGAUUUGAUGAAUGAUACGUUCAACACGCACCGACAACACCCUCUGGUAAAUUCCACAUUGUUAAUUCCAAAAAUUGGCCGCAUUCAUUCACUAGUGGUAGCAUACACACCCCACACAAUCAUCAAAGAUUUUAAUAAACCU